CGCGGAGGCCCCUGGGGCCCUCGGGCGGCUGGCGCCCUGGCGACGGUCAUGAGGCACUUCUCUGCCUCCUAGUCCUCGCUGCCACCAGAGAGUGGGGGGAUUGGAGGCUGCGGGCACUUUCGCUCUCUGGACAACAUGGUGGAGAGGAUUGGGCCCAAGGAGAGCCAGAGUAAGGUGCUGCUUCUGCCGGCUUGCGCUCUCUCUCUCAGGGAGGGACAGCAGGGAGGGUGCAGGUGAGCAGAGGCAGCUGCUCAUGCAAAACGUGGGCCACCCACAUACUCACUCUCACCUGCAUCCUCCCUCGUGGUGGCACAGUAUUGGGCAUGACGUUUGCUUGCACUCUCAAGCUGGGCAGUCCUUACUGCUGCAUCACCCGCAGGCAGAGCUGCCCAGGGCAGGAGAGAGCAGAUGAGUGGCUGGAAGCCGUGGCAGUUGCUCCUUACAUCCAUUGCCAGGGGAGGUACAGAGCAGUCCUUGCCCACCCAAACUUCUCAAGGAUGUUGUGCCACAGCAGGAACUGGUCUGUACUGAUCCCUGACCCCAGUAGCUGAAUCGCGGCUGCCUUUCUCUGGACAGAACGGCAGACGCACAGUGCUGUUCUGCCAAGUUCUGCUCUUGUCUCAUCAAGCUCCCCCAGUCCCUACUUCCAGGUGCUCAGUAGCAGUUAACUGUCUUCUAUCCGCCGCCCCAUCAUCCUUAGAUAGUAAUAAUUUGUAUGACUUUGCUCACUUAUAAAGUCAUGCAUUGGGAGUCCUUCAUCAUUUUGCUGCAUGGGACCCCCGUCUUCUGCCCCCAGAUCCUGGCCUGAGGGCCCAGGAGCAUGUGCUAGGGGCCUGGGAGAUUCUGGGUUAUGGGGUACAGUGGUCUUGUUGGAGAGCAGCUAAGCCACACUGGAAAGUCUUCCCUUUUCUGAUUCCAUGGAAUAGAGGCAAGGCACCACCCAGUGUAACAAUUACGCCCCCUUUCCCCAGCUAUUCAAGCACACAUGCAACUCCCCUCUCUCCUUAAGCUAGGCUGGUGCCUGUGGCCACUCUGCUUUUGCUGGGGACCAGGGGCGUCUUACCCAUAGAGGCUAGGGGCGCCGGGCGCCAGGGCGCCAAGUUCUGGAGGGCGCCAGGGAAGAGGCAGAGGCUGGACGCGGCACCUGCCAGCAUCAGCUCACCGCCCUUGCCCACCACGGCAUGCAGCGGCCAGCUGAGCCGGGAGGCACCGCGGCCAGCCUCCACCUCUUCCCUGCCAGAGGAGCCACCCUCCAGCCGCUGCCCGCCUCCUCCAGCCCUGCCGGCAGCGCCGCCCUCCCUAAAAAACUCUGGGAAAUGGGGGCGGGGGGCGCCAGAGGGAGCUUUACACCACAGCGCCAGAUAUGCUUAAGAUGGCCCUGCUGGGGACUCAACACAAAUGUAAGCAGAUAUGGCACACUGGUUUUCAUAUGCACCUUCGGAAGACUCAGUUACUCUGAUUAACGCUUCCUCAUUCAAAAUAUAAAAGGCUGCUUUAGUCCAAGAAGAGAUCAUUGGUCCAUCUAGCUUGCUAUUAUCUAGAGCAGAAUUCCACCACCAUCCCAUGAGUCCUGCCCAGCUUGGGCUGAUGGUUUGGAAAGGCUGGUCUACGCAUAGAUUGGCAGCAGUUCUCCAGUAUUGACCUUCCCCAGCAAUAUCUGGAGAUGCUGGGGCUAGAUGAGGGACCUUCGGCUCUGCCGCUGAACCACAGUCCUUCCUUGCCGGCUGGAGGAGAAGCCUGGAUCUUUUCUGGAAAUCACCACUGGCGUUGCUCACAUGUCCCACGAACCCCCUCCCCACGCCAAGUGGAUCAUGGAUUAACUCCCACAUAGCUGCCGAGGGUAUACCUUGCUAAUCUGUUUGUGGGCAGACAGCCCAGUUCUUACCUCCAACUCUUAUGUUCUUCUCCGGACCUCAGCGGAGGGACUGAGAUGGCUCAGCAGAACCACCACCCCAGGUCCCCAAGCACCCUACCCCUUGGAGGCCUGGGAAGGGAAUGUAUUCCCUGCGCCUUCCCGGCUCCCCUGGCACCAGGCAGCUCUCAAGGGCACUAGCUUGCAUCCAGUUCUCACAUCCCGUCCCCUUCCCUGCCUGCUGCCGCUGCUGUACAUCGUAAGCCCCUUUGCACCGUUUCUCUGCUGGCUGCACUUGCCCUCAGCUGCUCUCUCUUGCCUCUAAUUAGCUAUUCCAAUGGAGUGAGCCAAAUGGGGCGCUUGCUGUUGGCACAGGAUCUAAACUGGGAUCGCUUGAUAAAUUGCCAACCCAAUCUCUCUGGGCUUAUAUAAUAAUUCUUUGCUCCAGAGAGGAACUGCACGCUCAUUAGUGGUUUCCACUGCUGGCCAGAGAAUGGGCCUGGGGGAUGCCUCUGCACCUGGCCCUUCCCCCACCUCCUGCCCUGGGCCAGCUAUAUAUAGGCCAAGCAUUAUUUACUCUUAGCUACAUAGGGUCUUACCCCUGAGCACAUUUGCUUAAAUCCGUUAGGAUUAUCCUGUAUGACAGCACCGUUUCGUUAAAGUGUAGCCACUCCUCCCUUACUUACACUUGCUGUGCAGUGAUCUUAAUAAGCAUUAUAGUGUCAAGUAAACCUAUUGCUAAAACUGCCCUGCUCAAGGCAGUCUCAGCGGGACAACGCUUUAGAGAACCAGCACCAGCUUUAGACCCAACCAGGGUGUCGUGCUAAAUCUACUAGUGUGGACCCAAGAUCCUUGACAAACUGGGUUUUUAGGGAGGAGGAGAUUUGAAUCCUGGCCCCAGCAAGGAGCAGUGCCAACCCCACCCCCUCACUUGAUGUGUUGCAACUGGGAAAUAUAAGAACAAUAACUGGUGCCAGAGAUGUUUGUUUGGCUCUUUCUACCCCACCCCUUCCCCCCCACCCCUUUUUGGGUCCUGCCUUUUAGGUUGUAAGCCUGCGAGCGGGGACUGUCAUGUUUUUAAUCUGUGCAGUUUAUUAAAAAUGUAGGUACUUUGUAAAUGAGAAAGCAUAACAAUUGAAAUCAAAAGGGAAGGGGGCAUCCAAUGAAUGUUGAGAAAUUCAGGACAGAUGAAAGAAAGUACCUCUUCCCACACUGUCUAGUGAAACUAUGGCAUUUGCUCCCACAAGGUGUUGGGGUGGUCACCAACUUAGAUGGCUUUAAAAGAGGAUUAGACAAAUGCACAGGGGAUAAGGCUGUCAAUGGAUACUAACCAUCCUAUGUUCUACCUUCACUGUCGGAGGCAGUAUGCAACUGAAUACCAGUUGCUGAGGAAAGGUGUUUUUGGCAUUCAAGUCCUACUUGCAGGCUUUACACAUCUGGCUGGCCACUUUGAGAACUCAGUGUUGGACAAAAUGGGCCUUUUGUCUGAUCCAACAGUUCUCUUCAUAUAAGCUUUCCAUGGAAAUACCUGGGGACCCUUGGUGGCAUGAAUACUGCCUCACAAGUACUUCUCUGGGAGCAGAGCAGCACUUAUACCACAUCUCAGAUGACCUUUGUCUGGAUUUAGGAAUGUAGUGUAACAAAGUCUUUUAUGUUCGCUUUUAUCAGCACCGCACUUUUAGGUUCUUUUUGAACUAUAUGCUUUUUGUGGGGCUCUGCUGCCAUUUUUGCUCCAUUUUAAUAUCAGCGUUGGUUUGUUGUUGCUAUGUAUUUUUAAAUCAGUUUGCCAUAAGCUGCCUUGUGGGGUCUAGAAAUGGAGAGGCUGGGAAGAAACCCUCUUGAUAAAUAACACAUAUACAGAUGGUAAAGACUGCCUGAGUCUGAUUACAGUGAAACCCAAAAGUGGAUGCAAGAGCUAUUUAAAGAGGAAGGUAUAUUUCUCCCUGUUUUUGGAACAGAAAGCUGGUUGCCUGCAGAAUUUAUGGUCUGUGCUAAAUCUUAGAUGAUUUUCUCUGUUGCAGGCUGUCAGGGAAAUGUCAGGGACCAAGGCAACAGCAGUGCAUGUAGUUAUAGAUAUAGAUAUAGAUAUUAGAUAUAGAUGAUAUAGAUGAUAUAGAUAUAGAUAUUAGAUAUACCUUAAGCCUCUAUCUCUAUCUCUAUCUCUAUCUCUAUGUCUCUAUCUAUAAACUGCUGCUGACACCCUGCUAUGGGUGGGUGUGAGCGGGUGAGAUGGGGUUAGCUUUUAUUGACACCUUGAAGCAUACUAGUGUUCAAAUUAUUAUUGGUAGUAUUAUUCUCCGCCACCGCCCCCCAACAGCCCUUAGCCAUUUGUAUCAAUUUCCUAUGCUUUCAAGGAUGGGGAUAUGCCUGUCAUUUUUUGAUAAAAUGAUUGUUUCCUGCCCUGACCCCAUGAGAUAAGAUGGACUAUAAAUAAAAUGAAGCAAAUUGCUUGCAAUCAGCUAGCUUGACCUUCUGAAGAAAUAAAAGUCACAUCUCAAAAAAGCCUCAAGUGUAGCUGUGUUAACCAUUUAAAUCUAUUUUAGCAAUUGGAGCAGACACAUUUAAAAUCACCCACUGCCUUCCACUGCCAAAACUAAGCAGUACAACCAGUCCACAAUGCUGGCGACAAAGGCCCUAAUUGGGAUAAUUUUUCCACAUGAGGUGGACCUGUGGAACGGUUAAUAGUUUUUGGUUAAAAGUUUUACUAUAAAAGGUCAACAGAUAUAUUGUACACUAAAGCUGGAGCUGAUCUCAUUAUUGGGUGGACAAAACAAAAACUUGCCAUACAAACAAGUCUGUUAUUUGUGAUAGGGGCAGCCAUGCAAGUAUAACCUAAGAAUUAACACAGAGAAGUAACAUGAUUGGACCAUGGGUAGAGCAAAGUGUGCAACCUUCCCUUGGCCAAAAAAACCCCUAACCAACCAAGUAAAAGUUGCUAAAGGGGAAACACAUGGGUCAAAUUAUGUACUUUAUCGUUUUCUUACUUCUGGAAAUGAAAUAGUUGGACAUCGGCUUCAGAUACUGGACAGAUGUUCUAAGUUAAUAUAAAGAAAAUGUUCUUGCACAAUUUUUCAUUCUCUGUACUUACAUUGUAUAGCUGAGUAAACUGUAUAGAAUGGGGGGGGCAGUCUGGAUUAUAUCCAUGGGUCCCUUCCAGGCCUGAGAUAUUGUAUCUGUAGGGUUAGAACAGGGGUCAGCAACCUUUUUCAGCUGUGGGCCAGUCCACCGUCCCUCAGACCAUGUGGUGGGCCGGACUAUAUUGGGGGGGGGAGGAAUGAACGAAUUCCUAUGCCCCACAAAUAAUCCAGAGAUGCAUUUUAUAUAAAAGGGCACAUUCUUCUCAUGUAAAAACACGCUGAUUCCUGGACUGUCCACGGGCUGGAUUGAGAAUGCGAUUGGGCCGCAUCCGGCCCCCGGGCCUUAGGUUGCCUACCCCUGGGUUAGAAUAUGUAAGAUGAAACCUGUUGAACCAGUUAAACCAGUUCCUUUGUUAGCUCAGCUAAAUGUUCAUCACCAGCAUCUUAAAGAGUGAGUCCUGUUGUCAUAGAGACAAAUGAGUAGGUCUUUUCCCACCUCACCUGACUGGAGCCCACAUCAUCCUAGGAUUGAAAACAAUAGGUAAAGAGGGGCUGUGAGAGAGAGAGUUUUGGCUAUCAUUGGAAGCUGGAGACACAGAGGCUUGGUCUGUGUUGGACUCAAAAGCUGUGGCUUGGGGAUCCCCCUGGGAACCUAAUGAGGAGGCAAGAUCUGUUGGUGUGUUUAUGCUGUGAGCCCUUCUAUGCCAGUCCUAUGUUCAGGUUGUAUAUAUGUGUGUAAAUAAAGACAUAACUGUCUCCUUUGAGCUUCUUUCCUGAAACCGGAAACCUGGUGUGAUGGGAUGAUGAGCUGCUUGUGCGUAAAAUAGUAUCCCCUCAGAGUUUGUUCAAGUCCACAAACCUCUGUCUGUGACGGAGCCCCUCAGACAUGGCUCCUCUAGUCACUAGCAGAUUCCGACAGUGGUUGCUUCGGAAUCGCUUCCAACAUAAAAGCUCCUUAACGGAAACACGUCUUCUGGACUCUCUGCGUGACAGUUUCCGGCGAGGAGUGGGUGUUCCUACAGGAGGUCCUGAAACCUCCCCACUGUUUUCGCUGGAAGUGUCUCUGAGCCAUCCCUCCAGCUCACUUUCCCUCAGCUCAGCUGCUGAGUCUCUCCCAACCUGUGUGAGCCCUUUCACCUCCCUUCCUUCCGAUGGCAGUUCCCUGACAUCCACCUCCCCUCCAGGGCCCCUUUCACCCCCUCUCGCCCUCCUCUACGGGCGGUGAGGAGGCAAAACCCGGAAUGAACUUCCUUCAUCUUCCGAUGUCUCGAACACUUCUCUCCACCUGUUGCGGUUCCUGGUCUCAAGUACUCCUCCUCCUCAGAGUCCAUCUCCCUUCCCCUUCCGAGUCCGGGAAUCCUUCCAACUCCUCCUCCUCAUCAGUGGUCCCAAAGUAUUCCUCCGGAACCUCUCCACAGGCUGAGGUUUCCUUGGGAACCUUUGAUGGAACGUUUCUAUCAAUACCUCGUCAUUGAUAUCUUCGGCCAUUACCCAAGUGUUUUCUGACUCCGGUUCUCCUUCCCACGCUACCAAAUACUCCACCUGAUCCCCUUCCACCUGGCGUCGAGGAUUUCUGCCACAUGGCUGCUGCAUUCUCUUCUUCUAUGACCGGUCCCCGAGUGGCCAGCCCUUCUCGUCCCCUUCGUACGGUGACAGUAACGACCUGUGAAAUACUGGGUGCAGUUUCAUGUGGUUGGGUAACCGGAGCCUGAAAGCCACUGGGUUGACCUGUUGAAUGACCUCAAAGGGACCCAACCUCCUGGGUCUUAAUUUCUUACAACCUCCUUUGAACGGCAACCCUUGGGGUGACAGCCACACCCUAUCUCCCACCCUUAUGGUUUCACCUUCCCUUCGGUUCUUGUCUGCCUGCCUCUUGUAUUCUUCCUUCGCCCUGUCUGCGUGGGGUGGGAGCUGACGAUGGAUUGCUUCCAUUCUUCCACAAAAUGCUCGGCUGCCGGGACGCUCCAUCUCUCCCCAUCUCCCGCUGGGAAAGCCCUGGGAUGACACCCAUAAUUAGCCAAGAAGGGGCUCAUCCCUGUGGACACAUUCUCGGCAUUGUUGUAGGCAAAUUCCGCCAGCGCCAACUUUUCUACCCAGUCAUUCUCUCUGUCAUUGACAUAACACCUCAGGUAUUGCUGGAGGACACCGUUUGCUCUUUCCGCCUGCCCGGUGGUGUCAGGGUGCCGGGCAGUCGAACAAUUGACCUCCACCUGCAGUAAGCUCAUGAGCUUCCUCCAGAACCUGGAAGUAAAUUGUUUUCCUCGGUCUGAGACCACCCUCAAUGGCACCCCGUGCAACCUAAAAAUGUGUUCUACAAAUAACUUCGCUGUCUCUUCCGCCGUGACUGCAUGCGAGCAAGCUACAAAGUGGCACAUCUUUGUUAGUAGGUCUACCACCACCAUGAUGGCUGUUUCCCUUUGGACUUCGGCAGAUCAGUCAUAAAAUCUAUCGACACUGCCUCCCAAGGUCGUUCUGGGGCUGGUAAGGGUUCCUAACAGCCCCGCCGGCGCCCGCCUUUCCCUUUGGCUUGCUGGCAUUGCUCGCACCCUCUUACAUACUCACGUACAUCUUCCUCACCUUAGGCCACCAAAAUUCCCUGGUGACCAACCACAUGGUUUUGUGUUGUCCAAAAUGCCCCGCCGUAGGGCUGUCGUGCAACUGCUUGAGUACCCUCCCCCUUAGUCUCCUUCAGGGAUAUACAGUGCCCCUUUGUAAUACAAAGCUCCAUUUCUUUCCUCGAAACCCCCUGGUUCCUCUCCCUCACCCCUAAGACCUCUGAGCUUAUUCUGGGCGUAUUCAUCAUUCUCAGAAUACACCAACACGUCGUCUAAGAAGGCCACACAAUUCUUGUAAAGCAAAGGCCCCAGGACGUGGUUCAUAAACGAUUGAAAGCAUGCGGAGCCUGCUUGGAGGCCGAAGGGCAUAACCAAAUAUUCAAAUGCCCUAAAGGGGUGAACAUGGUGGUUUUCCAUUCAUCCCCCUUCCUUAUGAGUAUCAGGUUGUACGCCCCCCUUAGGUCCAGCUUUGUGAAAAUCUUUCCCUUCCGCACCCUUGUCAAAAUGUCGUCAAUCCUGGGCAUAGGGAAGGCCACUGGUUCUGACACUGCAUUUAAGGCCCUGAAGUCACACACCAGCCUCGGCUUGUCCGUGUUUUUUUUAGCCCCACAAAAACACUGGGCGGCCCCCACCGCCCUGGACUCUCUGAUGAACCCUCUCUUCAGGUUCUUGUCAAUGAACUCUCUUAGCUCCUGCAUCUCUGUCUGACAUGGCGUACAGCUUGCCUACAGGGAGCUGUGCCCCAGGGAGUAAAUUGAUUUGACAGUCAAAGGGUCUAUGCGGGGGUAGUUGGUCAGCUUACCAUUAGCUGAAUACGUCACGGAGAUCUGCGUAUUGUCGUGGUACCUUCACGUUCUCCGUUACUUCAGUCCCUGCUAGGGUGGCUUGGGCCCCUGCCAAACCCUUUCCUCUUUGCAGUGUUCUAAGCAAUGUGCUGAACCAAAAGAAACCACUCUCUGAUGCCAGCCCACCAGCGGAUCAUGUAACGCUAGCCAGCUCAUCCCCAAUAUAAUGGGAGCUCCUCCCAAGGUGGCCACAUUAAACGCUAUCAGUUCGGUGUGCCUUGCCACCUUCAUUAUCAUUGGGACGGUCUGCAAGCUGACUUCUCCUCCCAACAGCUCCCUGCCAUCGAUCGUGGUCACCUGCAGGGGUUGCUUAAAUGGAUCGUCUGUAUCUGGUGUUCAGCUGCAAACUCUUUGCUCAUGAAAUUGCAGGAGCUGCCUGAGUCCAACCGCGCCUGUGUGUUUCGAGGGUGUCCGUUUGGCCGCUCUCGCGCCACUUCUAUCACUAGGGCGGGUUUAGGAGGUUCUGGCGUGGGCACCUCACUGCUCUUUGGCCUGGCUGCUGUGCCCCGACGGUGGCAGCCAGGCGUUGGCUUUUACUUGCUCCGGUAUUUCUUCCUCUCUUCCCUCCACAGCUCCUACCAUCCCUUGCCAUUCCUUCCUCUGGGGGCAGACUCUGGCAAAGUGACCUGGCUGUUGGCAGAGAUAGCAUUUCGGGCGCGCUUUCCCUCCUUCUUUCCCCUCACUGGGCUUUGAAACUGCAGCGCGCGCGCUGUUCCGAUUUCCAUCGGCUCUGCCGGCGGGAAAGUUGGCUCUGGAAUGUCUGGAAUGCGGAACUCCUUCCAACGCUCCCUUCCCUUCCCGCCUCUCCAAUGCUCUCGCUCCUGGCGCGCUCCUAUGGUCAGCGCUGAUUUGGUCAGCUGGUCCAUAGACUCCGCCCUGGGCGCCCGGGAAAGUUCGUCUUUCACAGCCGAAGAAAGCCCUUCUUCAAAGAGCAUUUGAAUGGGUUCCGCCGAUAAGUCCCACCCCAAUCUGUGAACCAGCAUGGUGAACUCAGUCCAGUACUCACGGACAGAUCGGCUCCCCUGUUUGCAAGCCAUUAACUGUCUGCGCACCACUCCCUGUUCAAUAUCGCUGGAAACAUCAGAUCCAUGGCGCGAAAGAACUUCAUCGUGUCCUUUAGGACGUCACUAUUCGCUGCCAUCAGGGGUCUAACCCAGUCUCUCGCCCUUUUCAAGAUGCCCAAUCACGAAAGCCACUCGUGAUUCCUCGUCAGGGAAUUCAUCAAACUGCAGAUUGAGGGCAUAUUGCAUCUCUGUCCGAAAGCCAUGAUAGUCUUUGGGCCCCCAAACUUCUGCACCAAUCCUGGUACCUUUCUGGCGAGCUGGGUGGCUUUCCUUGUUGUCUGCAUCCUGAGCCCUCCUCUCCUCAAGCCUCGCCGUCUGCAGCGCUAGCUGGACCUCCAACACCCGGUACCUUCUUCCAGGCUUGGACCCGCUCCAGCUCCUGCUUCUCCGGUUCCGGCUGGGUUGCUCAUGAUGCCUUCUCCUGCACAAGCUGCUUUCAAAGACUGUCGGAAUGCUGUGAUGGGAUGAUGAGCUGCUUGUGCGUAAAAUCAGUAUCCCCUCAGAGUUUGUUCAAGUCCACAAACCUCUGUCUGUGACGGAGCCCUCAGACAUGGCUCCUCUAGUCACUAGCAGAUUCCGACAGUGGUUGCUUGCGAAUCGCUUCCAACAUAAAGCUCCUUAACGGAAACACGUCUUCUGGACUAUCUGCGUGACAGUUUCCGGCGAGGAGUGGGUGGUCCUACAGGAGGUCCUGAAACCUCCCCACUGCUUGCGCUGGAAGUGUCUCUGAGCCAUCCCUCCAGCUCACUUUCCCUCAGCUCAGCUCCUCUCCCCCUACUGGUUCCCUCUUCAGCUGCUGAGUCUCUCCCAACCUGUGUGAGCCCUUUCACCUCCCUUCCUUCCGAUGGCAGUUCCCUGACAUCCGGGUAAGCAUUGGGUAAGUCUCUUGCCGUUUAGAGAUUGGGGUGAACAAUACCAAUUGCAAAUGCAACACCUCCUCCUACUUAGUUUUUGAAUACAGUAAGCAUAUUUUAUUUUAAAAAGUGGGGUAGGAGAAUGGAAUCUACCUAAGGUACAGGGAAAGAGUAAAGAGUUAAAGCAUGACAGGUGCCACUUGGCCUACACAGCAUCAAAAGCAUAUUUGUCCCUUAAAAUACUGUAGAAGAGGAAAAAUGUUGUUUGUGGGGAUCAAUUGUCCUCCUUGCCAGAAUAGAAAUUCUAAUGUUUUUCUAGAAUAGUUUAAGAGGAGAUUGGUUGAGGUACAACUAUAGCAGCCUUUGCCAACUUGGUGGCUUCCAGAGGUGUUAGAUGAAAACUUCCACCCGAUUUGAUGGAAGUUAUUAUUAUUAUUAUUAUACUUUUUCUUUUGCAGGUAACAACAAAGAGCAACUGACUUCAGCUUGGAAAUCUGGAAAGUCACAGGAGAGAUGCAUACAUAUGUAAGAUGGGUAAGUAUAAUCCGAUACAUUCAUUUUACAAUAUAUUCUAAUCAUGAAGUCCAGAUUUCUUUUUAUGUGCAGGUAAAGAAUCUUGUAGAUUAUUGGUAAAGUCCCAGUAUAUUGCAUAGAAGUGCUCUGCAGAAUCUUUGCCUUUAAUUACACAAAGUUUGUGGGUUAUUUUUUCAGCGAUCACCAGUCUGCAAAUCUUUGUACCAUAAUGCAAGAGUCAACUUUAAUGUCUUCCAUUUUUGUGCUGCAGAAAUUCCGACAGCUGCCAGCAUCCAAGUAAUAGCUCUUCUGAAGGACACUGCUUCAUAUUAUUAUCCCACAUAUUUAAUAAAUAAAUAAAUGUGUGGGGUUGCUUGAAUCUGAAACUUAAAUAUGUCUGACAUUUCUGCAAAUAUCUCUUUCAUGGACAUUCUCACCAUAAAGGGAAAAAAGUUCCCUUUUGAGCACACCCUCCUCCAACAGACCUGGGAAGGUUGAGAGUUUAUGUGUGAGAUCUGAACAGGAGUUUGGUGCCAUCUAUGUAAUAUUGUAGUUUCAAAGAGUAUUCUUGGAUAUAAGUAGAUAUUGACUCGAAGGGUUUACUUGAGCAAAUACCAUUCCACAUAGUCUUCAAUGUUGAAAUUAAGGUCUCUUUCCUAUGCAGUUUUCAGGCCAACUAAUUGGCCUGUAGUUGUGUAAUAAUUCAUUAUACUAUACAUGGUAGAGAUCAAGCCUCUUCCUACAUGCCCUUGGUUUAAGAGUAUAAAUUCAAAUUUAGUUAACGGUCUGGUGGCUUGUGCAAUUAAAGCAUUAUAUGCUAAAUAAGUGGGAGAACUGUAUUUAUUGUAAGCAGUAGAGUCUCAAGUCACCUGUAUUUAUUGUUAGUUGUUCUUUGGAUAUUGGUUUAUCAUUAGCAUAAAAACUACAAAGUCUAAAUAAAUGUUUUUUCUUCCAUAAUAGGAUGAGAUUUCAUAGAGCUGGAUCUUGGACUUGGGUGUGAAAGCCAAGUGAUGUUAAAAGUGAACACAAAGGAGAUAGACAUCGCUGCAACCUUUUCCAUAUUGUGUUAUUUGUAUAUGGGUUGCGGUAUUUUAUCUAAAAUUGUUUUGGAAAUUCAGGAGUACCCAUAUUUUAUUUUAUAUCAUUUAGUCUUUGAGGUCAAUCCAUUUCUUAUUUGUUUUAGUGAUGAUAAAAUUACAUUGACAUCGUUGGAAUGCAUCGUGAGAUAAGGCUAGGUGUGGUAGCCCCUAUCCACUCCCUUGAUUUCCUGUAAAAAAUAAUAAUAACAGCCAGGCUGGACCAUUUUUUUUUAACACAAACACAAACUUUUAAAGUAUCAUUUACCAUUUCUUGAGUCAGUUGGGUGGAAGUCAAAUUAGAAGCAAUUGGGAAGGAUAUAAAAUUUUAGGUAUUAUCAUCAUUUGAAUAAACACAGUUAUGAAGUUGAAAGAUGUAGUUUAUCCCAUCAACCCAAGGCUCCUAACUUUUUAUAAGAGUAUAAUUUAAAAUGUAUAAUUUAUUCAAUUUAUAUGGUAUUUUUACCCCUAAAAAUUAGUCCUAAAAUGUGGAAUAGGUGUUUGCUGAAGCUUAAUUUGCUCCAUUGGGCCUAUAUUGUGGUACAUGAUCCAUGAUUUACUGAGAUUGGUUUUAAGGCCUGCCAUUUUUUCAUACUGACCUAAUUCUGAUUUUAGCAUUGGUGUCCAGUGGAUUAGUUAACAUGCAAAUCAUGUCAUCAGCAUAAAUGCUCUUCAUCCUUUCCUCAGUCACCGCUAAUAUGAGGGUUGAAUUGCAGUGAAAUUGCUAAAGGUUCUAGAGAAAAGGGAAAGAACAGUGAGGACAGAAUAUACUGUAUCAUUUAUCUUGCAUCUGAUGGACAACAUGGUUCAAAGCAUCUGGAGGGCACUAGGAUGGUAAAGGCUGGGCUAUAUUAUCAAUUUUGAAACCAUCUUCUGCCCCUCGCCUGGUCAUAGAAUGUUCUAGGGCCUUUUUAACAUUCUGGUAGGUUUUAUUACAUUCUAUGCUAGGAAUGUGCUGCUCUUUUUCAGUUAGUGUGCCUAGGAUUUGGGAAUCAUUCUGAAAUGUCGGCCAAAUUAUCACUUGUUUUGCAGGGAAAUAACAUUUUCCCAGCAAUAAAUAGCUUUUCUUGUUGUUGCUGGUAAAGAAAAAAAGAAAGGAAAGUGUUUCUCCUUCCAGACAGCAUGUCAACUGCAGCAGCGUGCUUGGUGUGGAAUGUGGUUCUGGCAUGUCAGUGAUGUCACUGGUGACAAGCACCACUCUUCCCCACCCCCUGGUGUUACUUUUAAAGUUGUUGUUGUUGAAGUUGUUUUAAAAAACAUGUUUCUUAAAAAAAAUCUUUUCAGGAGUUAAAGGUCUUUAAUGAGCUUUCCUUCUGUAGCAUAACAGCAGGAGUGCCAACUGCAGCCUUGUUAAAUGUGUAACGAGCUGGGUAAACCCCAUCAAGACGAUUUCCUCCCUUGCAAUAUUGUCCUG
rnacentral:lncRNA from 1 species